AUUGAACGCUGGCGGCAGGCCUAACACAUGCAAGUCGAGCGGAGCGGAGGACGGGUGAGUAAUGCCUAGGAAUCUGCCUGGUAGUGGGGGAUAACGUCCGGAAACGGGCGCUAAUACCGCAUCCCAUCAGAUGUGCCCAGAUGGGAUUAGCUAGUAGGUGGGGUAAGGGCUAACCUAGGCGACGAUCCCUAGCUGGUCUGAGAGGAUGACCAGCCACACUGGAACUGAGACACGGUCCAGACUCCUACGGGAGGCAGCAGUGGGGAAUAUUGGACAAUGGGCGAAAGCCUGAUGCAGCCAUGCCGCGUGUAUGAAGAAGGCCUUCGGGUUGUAAAGUACUUUAAGCGGGGAGGCGUUACCCGCAGAAGAAGCACCGGCUAACUCCGUGCCAGCAGCCGCGGUAAUUC
rnacentral:rRNA from 1 species